rnacentral:rRNA from 1 species
GAUGAACGCUGGCGGCGUGCCUAAUACAUGCAAGUCGAGCGAACAGACGAGGAGCUUGCUCCUCUGACGUUAGCGGCGGACGGGUGAGUAACACUUGGAUAACCUACCUAUAAGACUGUGAUAACUUCGGGAAACCGGAGCUAAUACCGGAUAAUAUAUUUAACCGCAUGGUUCAAUAGUGAAAGACGGUUUUGCUGUCACUUAUAGAUUGAUCCGCGCCGCAUUAGCUAGUUGGUAAGGUAACGGCUUACCAAGGCAACGAUGCGUAGCCGACCUGGGAGGGUGAUCGGCCACACUGGAACUGAGACACGGUCCAGACUCCUACGGGAGGCAGCAGUAGGGAAUCUUCCGCAAUGGGCGAAAGCCUGACGGAGCAACGCCGCGUGAGUGAUGAAGGUCUUCGGAUCGUAAAACUCUGUUAUUAGGGAAGAACAAAUGUGUAAGUAACUAUGCACGUCUUGACGGUACCUAAUCAGAAAGCCACGGCUAACUACGUG